rnacentral:rRNA from 1 species
CAUGCCGUAAACGAUGAUUACUAGGUGUGGGGGGUCUGACCCCUUCCGUGCCGGAGUUAACACAAUAAGUAAUCCACCUGGGGAGUACGGCCGCAAGGUUGAAACUCAAAGGAAUUGACGGGGGCCCGCACAAGCAGUGGAGUAUGUGGUUUAAUUCGAAGCAACGCGAAGAACCUUACCAGGUCUUGACAUCCAACUAACGAGGCAGAGAUGCGUUAGGUGCCCUUCGGGGAAAGUUGAGACAGGUGG